CCAGACACCCUGUGUUAUCUCAGUCCUGAUUUCCUUUUUAUCUUCCUUUUCUUUCCUUCCUAGAGGGCUGCAAUUCUGACAAUGUCGCAUGCUGAGCUAUAUGGCCUUAUAUUGCUUCCCCCUGGGGAAAUGUCACUGUGCUGCCAGGAGGUAGGAGGUUCCAAGGAAUAAGCCUGGAUGAAAUGGAACUUUUCUCCCCGGGGGUUUUUGUGAAGAUCCCCAGCUCCUACUAGAUGUCAUGCAAUUAUCAACAUCAGACUUUCUGGAGUCGAAGGACAACAUAAAAAUUCUACCAUGGACAUCGUUUUAUGUUAGCGCAUGCAGUUGUGUGCCCUUCAGGAUGUAUGCAUCAUUGUAACUUCUUGGCGAGGGGAGCAUGGAGCAGGUGAUGUCCCAUUUCACAGACAGCUAAAUGGAGGUGCAGAGAGCAGAGGAGGCCUGCCCCUCCCAGAGCCCAGGACCAGGUGACACCCAGGGGCCAGCAGGGCUGAGACCCUCGGCCUUGGACUUUAAGAUAAGCCUCCCUUCCCUGUACCAGCCCAUUGCUCUCCCUCUCUCAAAACGUAGGUUGCAAUGCUCACCUUGGAACAGGCUAAGCUGUGCCAGCUAUAGACUGAUUUUGCACGUUGCUGCCAAGAGGGAUACUUAGGUGACCAUUAAACCAUAGGGGAUGGUCAUGCAUUCCUACAGGAGCUAAAAAAUAAACCCAGUGGGUUUUCUCUGUUCCA